AACGUUCAUCUCUUUGAGAUUUUAGUUGUUCUUUAAAUGAGCAGAUAGAGAGACGGAAGUAGGGUGUCAACCGAAGGAACGUGCC
rnacentral:ncRNA from 2 species